AGGGUUUUGAAGUACAAUUACAUUUGGGUGUUACCUAUACUCUAGUAUCGUUGGUGUUCUACUAUUCUUUCUCAGUGAAUUCUGUGGUGAGGAUUAGAUGUUAGGGGAGGGGAAAAAAGGGGAUCAGUGCCUGUGGGCAGUGAAAUCUAAUUACAGUGUGAAAAGUUGGCUGUGUCUGUUGUUGCUCCGCUCUCCAGGUGCUAGCUUCUGCCAUAAUGCAGUGUCAUGAUCUGGUUUGUGCUUGGUGAGCCGGGGGCCGGCAAAACCGCUGCAGCCUCAGCCGGCACUGGCCGCCAAAUGGUGUCACGGACCUGCUGCAGGGUCAUCGUCGGUUGAAGGCGCUGCCCGCGACAGGUAAUCUCUAACUGCAUUUCACAGAGAAUGUUAAUGAGGUUUGACUCGUGAGCAUUCUUACUAUCAUUAUGAUUGCUGAAGCAAAGAUUAUGAUAUGACAACCACACAAUAUAUUUAUUAUUAUCUAUGUAUGAGCAAAAUACUGAAAUACACCACCAUUUUCUUUUUGUUCUAGUGGCAUGUAGUUUAUUGAUCAAAUAAAUAUUACCAGUUCACGAGUUAAUAUUAGAUGCUGAAUCUGGACAUAUGAUGGAACAAUACAUCUAAAUCUUUUUAAGCAAAAGUGUGUGCUGCGUCUUAGUUUUUCACCAGAUUAUUUGCAAAGCUAACCUCACUUUCGGUACCUUCUUUUGUUGUAAAUUGUAAUAAAUGACAGUAUCGAGUUUUCAUAUUUGAAUGAGAAUGGUGCCGUUUUUCUUGUCCUUGCUAUUGAAUGAAGGUACUCUAUUAGUGCUUAUCAUGGUUAUUGUCGUAAAAAUAGAACUGUAUAAUUUGAUUAACAUUUACAUGUCUUAAGUAUCAAAAUAGAAAAUUUCCAACUGGUCUGCAGCAAUCCAUACCGUACAUUACUACAUUACCAUAACAUCUACAUCUACAAUUUGGAAAUUGGUACUGCACCUUUUUCUCUAGGAAUUUUUGUAAUUAAGUUCUAAUGGGUAGAGGUACAAAUGGUACGGAUAUUUUCUGUUUUGUAUGCAAGUUUGGAUUUGGAUCUAGAGUCUGGAUAUUAGGGUUUGAUGAUCCAGAUUUUUUCUAAAAAUGUUUCGGAUCCAGAUUCUCUCAAGAACGUUUUUAGGAUGCAUCAGAAUCCCUUUGUUAGAUUGGCUGAUAGUAUGGAUUUUAGUUUCUCAAACAUAUAUGUUUUCAAUAAAAAAAAUCUUCUAAUGAGAAUAUGCUUAAAAAUCCAGAACUCUUUGUGUACGAAAGAACAACUUAAAUAUAACAAAUUUUAAUUUGUUGCACUUAAAAUUCUUGGUAAAUCUGCAAGGGAAGUACAAGAGGUGAGAACAAGAAUCGGUGCCAAACCACUUCUUGGACGAUUCCAGUUGUGUACUGUAAAAAGGAGAAACAUUUCUCUCUGGAGCUGAAACGCCACGGUUCUAGUCAUUUGGCACCGAUUCUGGUGUUCAGGUCUAAAUUGGAACUGUUCCAAGGGGCAAACACACCCUUUAGUAUCCAACACCGUAUCCAUAUCAAAUACUCAAAUUGGUAUAUGAGAAAGUGUACCUAUUUGUAUUCGUAUCCUUCAAGUAUCCGUCCAUAUCUGAUCGUUUGUACUCGUACAAAUGGGUAUAUUUUAGCAAGGGGAUUUCUCCAGCUAUAGGGUUCCCAACCCCUUCAAUCCAAACUGGGAGGCAGAGACAACAUUGAUUCUUGCCACUGAGACAAUGCUAUCCCAUAUAUUUCUGUGCAAGUCCUUGGUGCAAUGCUAUACAAGGUAUUUUCCCGUUAGAUUAUUUACUAACAAUGACAGGCCAAUAGCCAAUGGGACUAUAAAACCUAGAAUCCUUGACAUCACACCUAACCAUGA
rnacentral:lncRNA from 1 species